rnacentral:rRNA from 1 species
GACGAACCGUGCGAACGUUAUUCGGAAUCAUUGGGCUUAAAGGGCGCGUAGGCGGAUUGGCGCGUCGGCCGCUGAAAUCCCCCGGCUUAACCGGGGACGUGGCACCGAUACGGCCGACCUAGAGGCGAGGAGGGGGACCUGGAACGUCCGGUGGAGCGGUGAAAUGCGUUGAGAUCGGACGGAACGCCGACGGCGAAAGCAAGGUCCUGGACUCGUUCUGACGCUGAGGCGCGAAAGCCAGGGGAGCGAACGGG